UACAGAGGUGGCGAGCGUUAUUCGGAAUUAUUGGGCGUAAAGGGCGCGUAGGCGGCCACGCAAGUCUUGGGUGAAAUCCCUCGGCUCAACCGAGGAACUGCCUUGGAAACUGCAUGGCUCGAGGCCGGGAGAGGGUAGCGGAAUUCCCAGUGUAGCGGUGAAAUGCGUAGAUAUUGGGAGGAACACCCGGUGGCGAAGGCGGCUACCUGGACCGGUUCUGACGCUGAUGCGCGAAAGCGUGGGGAGCAAACAGG
rnacentral:rRNA from 1 species